GUCGAGCGGGGGAACGAAGCUUGCUACUGGACCUAGCGGCGGACGGGUGAGUAAUGCUUAGGAAUCUGCCUAUUAGUGGGGGACAACAUUCCGAAAGGAAUGCUAAUACCGCAUACGUCCUACGGGAGAAAGCAGGGGACCUUCGGGCCUUGCGCUAAUAGAUGAGCCUAAGUCGGAUUAGCUAGUUGGUGGGGUAAAGGCCUACCAAGGCGACGAUCUGUAGCGGGUCUGAGAGGAUGAUCCGCCACACUGGGACUGAGACACGGCCCAGACUCCUACGGGAGGCAGCAGUGGGGAAUAUUGGACAAUGGGGGGAACCCUGAUCCAGCCAUGCCGCGUGUGUGAAGAAGGCCUUAUGGUUGUAAAGCACUUUAAGCGAGGAGGAGGCUACUAGUAUUAAUACUACUGGAUAGUGGACGUUACUCGCAGAAUAAGCACCGGCUAACUCUGUGCCAGCAGCCGCGGUAAUACAGAGGGUGCGAGCGUUAAUCGGAUUUACUGGGCGUAAAGCGUGCGUAGGCGGCCAUUUAAGUCAAAUGUGAAAUCCCCGAGCUUAACUUGGGAAUUGCAUUCGAUACUGGAUGGCUAGAGUAUGGGAGAGGAUGGUAGAAUUCCAGGUGUAGCGGUGAAAUGCGUAGAGAUCUGGAGGAAUACCGAUGGCGAAGGCAGCCAUCUGGCCUAAUACUGACGCUGAGGUACGAAAGCAUGGGGAGCAAACAGGAUUAGAUACCCUGGUAGUCCAUGCCGUAAACGAUGUCUACUAGCCGUUGGGGCCUUUGAGGCUUUAGUGGCGCAGCUAACGCGAUAAGUAGACCGCCUGGGGAGUACGGUCGCAAGACUAAAACUCAAAUGAAUUGACGGGGGCCCGCACAAGCGGUGGAGCAUG
rnacentral:rRNA from 1 species